AAAAAAAAAAAUUGUUUGGAGUUGGAACGUUUGCCUACGUUGGUCGCUAGGGGCGCUGUUCCAUAUCCAUACAAAUUUGAGUUA
rnacentral:pre_miRNA from 1 species